UUGGAUAAUAGUGUUGUAUAGCACACUGUAUUACUUAAGUAACUAAUAUUAGGGCAGGACAAAAUAUUCCAAUGUACAUAAAAGUACUCAAAAUGUUCCGUGUAAGAACUCCAUUGUUACACAGAUUUAUCAAAUGUUCCUAUAUUUCUAACCAGUGCAGACAUUUUCAGUUCAUUAUUUUUCUUUCUCACACUUUUUAGACAGUCCCUUACUCCCAGUAUUUUUUUCCUUCUUCUUUUCACUUGGCGAUUCCACUUUCUCCCGCAGUGCAGCAAAACUCUUCCCCUCUUUGCUGUGACAUCAGAAACUAGCUCCACAUUUUCUUUGUUUCUUCCUACAGCAAAAAAAAAAAACGUUGAAACUUUCUACCGAGUAGAACUAACAAACCUUAAGAAGGACCUGCUCUCCACCAUUACAAGGAGAUGAAAGACAGUGAACAAGCAGCACUUCGGCUUCAAUUGUCUGGACCCUGGUGUUGUGGCUAAGGCCCUUUCACUCAGAUGGAACCAGAUUUCAGCUGCUUUGCAAUGCUGACAUCCUUCCUCCCAAGAGAUGUGCAAGCAUCCCCUGGACUUGACACAACCCGGAAAACAUAUAUUUUUUAAACAUCAGGACUUUUUCAAAUCAAAAGGGCACUAACAUUACAUGUCCUGCUCCAAAGGGCAGGAUGGAAAUAGGCUCUCAGGGUAGAUUCCUAUGUUCAUAACAUGACAUCAACCAAAGUCACUCAAAGGAUCUCAUGAUAUAGGCCCAGGUCUAGAUAGUGGUUUACCUUUAUGUGUUUUAAGUUUUUCCUGCUUGUAGGCUAGCACUUGAAAUCUUUUUAUGUUUAAAUACCUCACUGCUUUUGCACAUGGCCACAGUCACAUGGGUUCACAUGUUCAUUCUUAAAGAUAUGGGUGGUUCUAAGGCUUAAAAAGGUAUGAACAUGUAGCUGUUCGAUGUGUAAGGUUAUCUAUAUUAUAAAACAAUAGGCAAUUUAAUACUGUUAAUGUUUUGACUAAUGGGGGAACUUGGUGAGAUAAUGUUCAGAGAAUCCAUUUUCUGUAAUUUGGUGAAGGUAAAAAAAAAUCUAAAAUACACGUUUAUGUGUAUGAUAUAUCA